rnacentral:rRNA from 1 species
GAAUUCACUAGUGAUUCAGGCCUAACACAUGCAAGUCGAGCGGCAGCACGGGUGCUUGCACCUGGUGGCGAGUGGCGAACGGGUGAGUAAUAUAUCGGAACGUACCUUAUUGUGGGGGAUAACGCAGCGAAAGCUGUGCUAAUACCGCAUAAUCCCUAAGGGGGAAAGCGGGGGACCGUAAGGCCUCGCGCAAUUAGAGCGGCCGAUACGUGAUUAGCUAGUUGGUGAGGUAAAGGCUCACCAAGGCAACGAUCAGUAGCUGGUCUGAGAGGACGAUCAGCCACACUGGGACUGAGACACGGCCCAGACUCCUACGGGAGGCAGCAGUGGGGAAUUUUGGACAAUGGGGGCAACCCUGAUCCAGCAAUGCCGCGUGAGUGAAGAAGGCCUUCGGGUUGUAAAGCUAUGGGUCAGGGAAGAAACAGCAGCUCUAACACAGUUUGCGAAUGAC